rfam:Schistosoma margrebowiei strain Zambia genome assembly, scaffold: SMRZ_contig0000598
GCACUGCUGAAGAGUCCCAUACUAGGACGAAACGGCCGUCCAAUGC